ACUAUGCCUGAGCGGGGUA
rnacentral:sRNA from 1 species